GGGGUUGUGGCUCAGCAGUAGAGCGCUCACCUAGCACAGGAGAGGUCCUGGGUUCAAUCCCCUCAGCACCA
rnacentral:tRNA from 1 species